UCCCUUAAGUUUGCCUGAAGAGAAUGCAG
rnacentral:piRNA from 1 species